GACGAACGCUGGCGGCGUGCUUAACACAUGCAAGUCGAACGGAAAGGCCCUGCUUGCAGGGUACUCGAGUGGCGAACGGGUGAGUAACACGUGGGUGAUCUGCCCUGCACUUCGGGAUAAGCCUGGGAAACUGGGUCUAAUACCGGAUAGGAGCCAUUUUUCGUGUGAUGGUUGGAAAGUUUUUUCGGUGUAGGAUGAGCUCGCGGCCUAUCAGCUUGUUGGUGGGGUAAUGGCCUACCAAGGCGGCGACGGGUAGCCGGCCUGAGAGGGUGGACGGCCACAUUGGGACUGAGAUACGGACCAGACCCCUACGGGAGGCAGCAGUGGGGAAUAUUGCACAAUGGGCGCAAGCCUGAUGCAGCGACGCCGCGUGGGGGAUGACGGCCUUCGGGUUGUAAACGCCUUUCGCUAGGGACGAAGCUUUUUGUGACGGUACCGAGAUAAGAAGCACCGGCUAACUACGUG
rnacentral:rRNA from 1 species